rnacentral:lncRNA from 10 species
GCUCAGCCAGGGCCACUUCCUGCUGGGCAGACACAGGCCCAGGGCACUGCUCAACAGCCUUGAGAGUAGAAGAGACAAGAAAACGAACAAGCACAAAAUUCUCUCUGGCUUAAAAGCAAAUGACACUUACAGUCUAAAGACAAAAGUGAACCUGAUCAGCCUUGAGAAGGGGCCGGCCAGACAAGAAGAGGCUCCUUCUGAGUGCGUUCCGGGGGCGUUGCUACAAAGCUCACACAGAAAGACCACGCCAGGGCCCACACUCCUUGGUGCUUCCUGCCUCCACGGUGGUGACUGGAGAGAAGGGGCUUGGACUCACGGACCCUGCUUAGUUAGCACUUCACCUGGUGUUGAGCCUGGCGCCCCGCCUGACCACUUCCAAGAUCUGGGCUGGCCUCUGUGCAGAGGAAGCUGAGACCACUCUUCGCCCGCCACGGGGACCCUGAUGACGCACCCCAGGCCACCAGGCCACUGCCUUCACGUGUCCGACGGACGAACCGCAUUCCCACAGCUGUGCGUCCACCUUCACCACCGGUCUCCAGAGUCCUCCCAAACUGAAGGCCUCUCCCCAGCCUGGCACCUGCCAUUCUGCGUUCGGUCUCUACAGAUCUGGGAACUCCAGGGACCUCCCAGGAGAGGAUCAGACAGGGCCCCGCGG